rnacentral:misc_RNA from 1 species
CCCUGAUUAACAAUUCCAUCAUCUUCUUAUACAUUGGCAUAUAAUGAUCAUUAAUCAUCGUUCUUGAAAGGCGGAUCUUACUGUACAGUUCUCUAGGUGUCUCGUAUAUACCCACAUCUUCAGUGGUUCCAUCAUCUAUGUCAAUAUUGGAAGGCACAGAAACAAUAUGCAUGAUUCUACCAGGUGGAUAGAACUGGUGGCUGUCUAAAACAUCUGCCGAAGUUAUGGGACUUAAGGUUUCGGCUGCAUUGGCCAGAACACUCUCUUCUUCAGUAAUUUCUUUCGCUGCAGCAGCUUCUUCUGCCUGGGCCUCAAUAUCAACUUCAUUCUCUUGCCUCUGAAGCUCCUUCUCCAGUUCAUACCACAGUUCACCUUCAGUAACAUCUUCAAUGGCAGAAGAAUUCAUGACUCUAUCAUCAGAAAUAAGAGGCUCGUCUCAUGCCCUGUUUCACUGCUUGAAUUACAUUCUAGUUUGCUCUGCGCUGUCUCUUUAGUUUGCACUUCAGCCACAAUAGUAUCAGAACUUUCAGAUACUACAAAAGCUUCUGGCAAAUCAUCCACUUUAGAGUGUGCUGAUGGACCCACAGAACGACGUCUUGGCCCUAUGCAUAGCCAUGAUGAUAGAGAUGAAGGUGUUCUGACAACAGCUUGGGCAACAUUUUGAGCUCGCUUCAUCACAACCUGAGUGCUGCUAGAAACAGGGCGNNNCGCAGAAGUGCACCUGCACCAGCAACUCUAGCUUUAGCACUAGCUAUUGAUGGUAGACGAGAUCCCAGAGCAGUUGCAGAACGAUAAACAACAUUUAGGACUCUAGUGUGCUCAACUUGAUCCCGCAAAUCAUUUAACCAAGAUGAUGCUGUUACCUCAGAGCGAAGGUUAUCAACAGAGGCAGCUGAAAAUGUAGGCACCAGAUCAGAUCCAUUGAUGAUGGUAGUAAUAAAGUGCUUCCCCGAUUCUGCUAAAUCCCAAGUCAUACAGGCAGCUGGGGCAAAUGUGACACAAGUGCUAGAAGAGAACUCCUUCUGUUCCCGAAGAAUAUAUGUUAAUAACGCAGCAGUACCCCCUCCAAGUGAAUGCCCAACAAUCUUAACAAUGUGGUCGGGAUGUUCACCAAGUGCCUUAAGCAGGCAAGGAGUGCU